rnacentral:misc_RNA from 1 species
GUGGUUUUUUGGCAGCGCUGUUGUAGUGUAUGGUGGUGGUGUUGGGUUUGGUGUGGUGUGUGUUGUGUCUGUGUGUUCUGCUGUGUUUACUUGGCCUUGGCCUUGGUCUUGGCACAGCAACGGACGACGGCACAGCAGCGGACGACGGAACACUCGGACCAGACCCAACAGACCUCGCCAGAUAGACGUCUUUGCUUGCUUUGAUGAAACCAAAUCAAAUA